rnacentral:rRNA from 1 species
CCUACGGGCGGCAGCAGUGAGGAAUAUUGGUCAAUGGACGCAAGUCUGAACCAGCCAUGCCGCGUGCAGGAUGACGGCUCUAUGAGUUGUAAACUGCUUUUGUACGAGGGUAAACUCCGAUACGUGUAUCGUUUUGUAUGUAUCAUACGAAUAAGGAUCGGCUAACUCCGUGCCAGCAGCCGCGGUAAUACGGAGGAUCCGAGCGUUAUCCGGAUUUAUUGGGUUUAAGGGGUGCGUAGGCGGUUUGAUAAGUUAGAGGUGAAAGGUCGCGGCUCAACCCCGAAAUUGCCGUUGAUACUGUUGGACUAGAGAGUAGCUGCGGUAGGCGGAAUGUAUGGUGUAGCGGUGAAAUGCUUAGAGAUCAUACAGAACACCGAUUGCGAAGGCAGCUUACCAAACUAUAUCUGACGUUGAGGCACGAAAGCGUGGGUAGCAAACAGGAUUAGAUACCCCAGUAGUC